UACGGGGGGGGCAAGCGUUGUUCGGAAUUACUGGGCGUAAAGGGCUCGUAGGCGGCCAACUAAGUCAGACGUGAAAUCCCCAGGCUCAACCUGGGAACUGCGUCUGAUACUGGAUGGCUUGAAUUCGGGAGAGGGAUGCAGAAUUCCAGGUGUAGCGGUGAAAUGCGUAGAUAUCUGGAGGAAUACCGGUGGCGAAGGCGGCGUCCUGGACCAACACUGACACUGAUGAGCGAAAGCCAGGGGAGCAAACGGG
rnacentral:rRNA from 1 species